GGCAGAGGGAGCAGCAGGCUCCAUGCACCGGGAGCCCGACGUGGGAUUCGAUCCCGGAUCUCCAGGAUCGCGCCCUGGGCCAAAGGCAGGCGCCAAACCGCUGCACCUCCCAGGGAUCCCAUGAGCGGUGUUCUAGUGGUGUUUGUCUGUGUGACUGGCGAAUUUCACUUACCAUGAUGUCUUCAUCCAUGAUGUAGCAAGGGAUGGGGUUUCCUUCUUUUUUAAGAUGGAAAAACACUCCAUUCGUUGGAUAUACUGCAUUUUCUAGUCAUUGUCAGUGGACGCUUGGGUUGCUUCUACCUUUUGCUUAUUGUGACAGUGCUGCUGUGAACCUAGGGGUGCAAAUCUCUCUUGGACACCCUGCUUUCUGUUCUUUUGGGUGAAUGCCCAGUAGUGGGCUUGCUGGAUCAUAUGGAAAUUUUGUUUAUCCUGCUGCACCAUUUUACGUUCCCAUGAUAGUGAGUGAGAGUUCCAGUGUCCCACAGCCUCACCAAUAUUUGUUGUUUUGUGCUUUUCUUUGAGAGCAGCCUUCCUGAUGGGUACGAGGUGGCUUCUCAUUGUGGUUUUGAUUUCCAUUUCCCUAAUGGUUGGGGAUGCUCAGUAUCUUUUCAUGUGCUUGUUGGCCAUCGGUAUAUCUUUGGAGAAAGGUUGGCUCAAGACAUAUAUCCAUUUUUAAGUUGGGUUGUUUGUUUUUAUUCCUUUCUAAGAUAAGAAUAUGCAGAAGCAAGUAGAUGAAUUUUGAAAGAUGCCAUUGGAGCUUUUAUUCUGAAAUGAUAGUCUCAACUCCAGGCCUUGGGCAAUGUUCUCAAACUCAGAAGAGUCAUUUCUCCUACUCAAAGUUCAAAGAAUUCAACACCCACAGAGUUGUUUUCAGAGCAUUGGCUGCAGGCCAAAAGGGCGAGCGUUAUGUUCCUCCAAGGGCUUUAUGUUCCUGCAGGGUCUCCUUCCGGUUGGGAGGCUGGGGAGAGACCACUGGGCCGGUCUGCUUGGACUGGAGGGGUCUGAAGCCGGAGACAUUCCCACGGCCAGCAGCCCUUUCCUCAAUAUGACUGGCCAGUGCUCACGGCAUCACUUCAGGUUCCUGAGGAAACUGCACGUGGAUGGAGUCUUAAACACGAGGCAGGUGUUAUGGGGGAUUACUGUCAUCUAGAGCAGGAGCCUACAGUUCUAGAACUGUCAUUCCGGCUGGAAGCCGUCGGGGUGGAGCUCGUCCAUCAGGGAGCUGGUGCCCCCUUUCCGGCCGGGCCCCGGCCGGGCUGCUCGCCAGCAAAGCUUCCUCUCGGCCCGUCUCAUAUUUAAACUGUGCUUGUGAGACUUACAGUACUUCGCACACCUCAUGCCCACCCUGUGACUUCGGGACCUGCGCAUUAUUUUUCUCAUUUUACAGUUGAGGAAACUGAGACCCAAAGAGAUUAAGUGACUUGCCGGCACCAAGAUAUAAAGCAAGUGCCAGAGGCAGGAUUUGAGAUAAAAAUCCUGUGUGUUCCCUCCUGUAUCUGGACCUUACACACUCGUCUACCUGCUUCCACAAGAGCAGGGCUGCCUAGAUGGGCUUUGUGUAGUAGCAUCUGUACCAGGAGAUGCGGUCUAAAUAUUUUGCAUCUCUGACGAUGUGUCUCCCACCUGCCUUCGCUCUGUUCCCGGGGGUGGGGGGGUGGGGUGGGGUGGGGGUAUUGAGGCCUGUGCACUCCUUCCACCACUAUACUUUGCAUCUGGAGGCUUCCUCCUCCUGAGAGCAUUUGCAUGGAGGAGAGUUUUGAACUUUAAGAUCCAAAGGAAAGAGUCUCAGAGAUGGUGACAUUCCAGGGCGGAGACAGGCGGGUGUUACGGGUAGGGACAGGGCCCAGAGCUUCGGUUACCCGGAGAGUCAGUCAUACUACCGUCACAUGGUGCUGUUGUUACAGGCAUUCACUCAGCCAGUUAAAACAUAUUUAUUUAUUAAAAAAUUUUUUUUCAAUUGGAGUUCAAUUUGCCAACAUUUAGCAUAACACCCACCGCUCAUCCUGCCAAGUGCCCCCCUCAGUGCCCAUCACCCAGUCACCCCCACCCCCCACCCACCUCCCCUUCCACCACCCCUUGUUCGUUUCCCAGAGUUAGGAGUCUCUCAUGUAAAACAUAUUUAUUAACGGCCUGCCAUGGGUUGAUACCAAGAUUCCAUUUCACAUAUGAAUCGGUUCAUUGAAUAGCAGUUCACGUUCACAAUAGAUGGGUAGGGGGGCUUUUCCAGGGUGUACCUCGUGUUCUGGUGAUGUCCUGAUUGACCAGAGCUGUGCUGCUUUCCCGCAGGCCUGGUGAGGCGACGGGCCGUUCCAGUUUGCCUGGUGGUGUGGGGUUCCUCGAACGCCGGACUUUCCGUACAGUAGCUAGAAAGAUCCGGGCAACUGAGGGUGGGUGGUCAGCCUGUGACAGAAGCACAGCUCGGGCCGAGAGGCCUCCUCACUCCUGAGACCGUCUUUUUCAGGGCCUCCGAGAAUUAGCUGACUUUAAAUGCCUUCUUUAAAUGGAUCGUGGUUGCUCUUUACUCUGGAAGUAUUUAUGUGCGUGAGAAAUGUUUCGGAUUAAACAAAGAACCAACCAAAAAUAGAUCCCAAGAUUGCUUGCCUAUGAAGUUCAGAUGACAGUUUGAAACAAAUGGUCCCUUCCAGCGGUUACGGAUUGUACUGGGUAGAGCGGUGUUCCCCCUAAAUUCAUGUCUACUGGAAGCUGUGAGCGUGACCUUCUUCGGAGAUAGGCUCUGCAGACGUGACUGGGCCAAGAGGAGGUUCUCCUGGAGGAGCGCGGGCGCUAAAUCCAACGUGAGUGUGGUCCUUCCAAGACCAGGGCCAUUCCGACGCCAACAGGAGGGAAAGCCACGCAGAGAUGGAGACAGUUUGAAGUGACACCUGUACAGGGUCAAGGACUGCCAGGACCACCAGCACCAUCAGAAGCUGGAAGGGGUGAGAAAGGACCCUCCUCUAGAGCCUUCGGAGGGAGCGUGGCCUGGCGACACCUUGACUGCGGCUUCUCCCCUCCUGAGCUGUGACAGCAUACAUUCCUCUCGUUCUAAGUCACUCAGUGUGUGGUCAUUUGUUACAGAGGCUCUGGGAAACUAACACGAAUCAGGUUUUUUUUUUUUUUUUUUUUUUUUUUUUAAAGUGAAAAAUUGCUAUGUGGGUAAUUUGAAGAGGGACUCGUUGCUGUUCCUAAUGAGAAAAUGUUCCCCUUAGUGUUAUGCUCAUCACCCUCGCAGAUGCUCCCAAUGACCGUGGCGUGCAUUUUGCGGUAUUAAUAGUUGUUUCCUUGUCUCUUCUUCUUAAUUUUGGCCUCUUCAAAGCCUAACAAUGGGUCCGAUCAACAAUUUAUUCUUUCUUUUGUUUUGCAAGAUUCAUGAACAUGUUGUUCUCACACAUCUGGGUGGUGGGGCUGACACAAAAAUUUACGCUUAAUAAUAUUCCUUGGAUAAAUAAAUGACUGUCAGAUGCAGGCUUUUUUUCCUUCUCUUGAGCAAUCUAUGAUCAUGGAAGCAUUAUUUUAAUCUUAUCUAUGCCACAGAGG